CAGCCACCAUACACCCGCCGGACCUCCACCGUCCUCGUCACAGCCGCCCCAGCCGCCGACCACCUACCGCCGCCGCGACCGCCAGCUGCACGCAACCGAGUCGCGCCACCCUCUCCUUGCUGUCGCCGAGCAGUGCUGCCGCCUCCGGCCGCGCCUCACCGCCUGCCGCCGUCGUCCUCUCUCGUCGGCGGAGAAUUCUCCUUAGGCGACUUUUGAAUUAUUAAAGUGGUCUUGCAGUUUGUUUACACAAGUCUCUAAGGAUCAAUAAGCGUUGCCCAUCUACAGGUUUGAAGAUGAUGCAUCAUUGGGAUCGGGAUUAGAGAGCUUGUAGUUAUAUUUGUUUUAUUAAGUGAUUUGGGUUGUUAACUUAUAUUUGAAAGUUGUCGUACUAUUCGUAUUUCCUUAUUUCCGUUAAUUGGUUUUGGACUUAGUAUGUAAUCGAUUAUUUAUGAACCUAAAAGUUAGUUUUAUGUUUUCCGCUGCAAAAUUCUGAAUAAGCCGUACGU